rnacentral:rRNA from 1 species
AGAACGAACGCUGGCGGCAGGCUUAACACAUGCAAGUCGAACGCCCCGCAAGGGGAGUGGCAGACGGGUGAGUAACGCGUGGGAAUCUACCCAGCUCUACGGAAUAACUCAGGGAAACUUGUGCUAAUACCGUAUACGUCCGAUAGGAGAAAGAUUUAUCGGAGUUGGAUGAGCCCGCGUUGGAUUAGCUAGUUGGUGGGGUAAUGGCCUACCAAGGCGACGAUCCAUAGCUGGUCUGAGAGGAUGAUCAGCCACACUGGGACUGAGACACGGCCCAGACUCCUACGGGAGGCAGCAGUGGGGAAUAUUGGACAAUGGGCGAAAGCCUGAUCCAGCCAUGCCGCGUGAGUGAUGAAGGCCCUAGGGUUGUAAAGCUCUUUCAACGGUGAAGAUAAUGACGGUAACCGUAGAAGAAGCCCCGGCUAACUUCGUGCAGCAGCCGC